UAAGGUCACGGCGAGACGAGCCGUUUAUCAUUACGAUAGGUGUCAAGUGGAAGUGCAGUGAUGUAUGCAGCUGAGGCAUCCUAACAGACCGAGAGAUUUGAUC
rnacentral:rRNA from 1 species